rnacentral:tRNA from 1 species
AAUUUAAUAGUUUAAAAAAAACAAUGGUUUUGUAAACCGUUAAUAGAUUAUUUCUUUAAAUUA